GCCAUGCCUACACCACAUCCAUCAGCAGGAGCCGAUUCCACUGUUGAAUUAACAGCCUUGUUUAAUGGCCGCCUCGCUGCUCAUCACACCUCUGUUUGAUUAAAUUGUUAUAUAAAGAGAAAUGUUUUGGCAACAACUAUCUGCUGGGAAUUUCAAUCAUGUCCUGGGACCACUGUUGCUGAAUCAUGGUUCUUUUCUUUUCGAAAAAUGAAAAUUUUUAUUGCCACUGGUAGGGCAGACUCAGGGGGAGGUAUAGGGAGAAAGAGUAGAAAUGGGAAUAGCAACAAUGGACAGGAGGCUCCAGAUCUAGAGGGCUGUGUUCAUUUGAAUGGAAUGUCCCCCAUAAGCUGUGGAUUUGAAUACUUGGUCUCCAGUUGGUAUCACUGUUCAGGUAGGUUUUGAAGAUGUGACCUUGCUGGAGGAAGGCUGUCUUUGAGGUUUCAAAAGCCAUGAACUAUUCCUACCUUGCUCUCUGUUUCCCCCAUUGUGUUUUGAGAUGUGAGCUCUCAGCUGAUCCUGCUGCCAUUUCAGCUGCCUGCUGCCCCAAUUCCCUGCCAUGAUAAACUUUUAUCUGUCUGGAUCUGUAAGCCCAAACAACUCUUUUCUUCCAUAAGUUGCCUUGGUUAUGGUGUUACUGCAAUAGAAAAGUCACACACUGAGCUACAAGUGAGAGAGCCUACCAUGUCUCCCGACCUUGUUCCUGUGUCUUUAAGGGAAGGCCUCCUCUCUUCUUGGAAGAGAGAAAGACCAGAGCCAUUAGCCACAUGCUCUCUCUACCUCAGCCAAGGAUCUUUAGGAUAUCCAGAAGGAACAGGAUGCCAAGAGCAAAGGAAGGUAGUGCUGUUUGCUUAUGGAGUUUGAAGACCUCUGGAAGCAUGUAUUGAUUGCCUCUCCAGGUCAUCUUCUAGGUACUUUCUGUGUCUUAAACCACACAAUUCAGUAAGAAGCCAGUGAGGACGCCA
rnacentral:lncRNA from 1 species